rnacentral:rRNA from 1 species
GACAAGGUUCCAGGCCCUACGGGGUGCAGCAGGCGCGAAACCUCCGCAAUGUGAGAAAUCGCGACGGGGGGAUCCCAAGUGCCAUUCUUAACGGGAUGGCUUUUCAUUAGUGUAAAGAGCUUUUGGAAUAAGAGCUGGGCAAGACCGGUGCCAGCCGCCGCGGUAACACCGGCAGCUCUAGUGGUAGCAAUUUUUAUUGGGCCUAAAGCGUCCGUAGCCGGUUUAAUAAGUCUCUGGUGAAAUCCUGCAGCUUAACUGUGGGAAUUGCUGGAGAUACUAUUAGACUUGAGACCGGGAGAGGUUAGAGGUACUCCCAGGGUAGAGGUGAAAUUCUGUAAUCCUGGGAGGACCGCCUGUUGCGAAGGCGUCUAACUGGAACGGUUCUGACGGUGAGGGACGAAAGUUAGGGGCGCGAACCGGAUUAGAUACCCGGGUAGUCCUAACUGUAAACGAUGCGGACUUGGUGUUGGGGUGGCUUUGAGCUGCUUCAGUGCCGAAGGGAAGCUGUUAAGUCCGCCGCCUGGGAAGUACGGUCGCAAGACUGAAACUUAA